rnacentral:rRNA from 1 species
UGGGGAAUUUUGGACAAUGGGCGAAAGCCUGAUCCAGCAAUGCCGCGUGUGUGAAGAAGGCCUUCGGGUUGUAAAGCACUUUUGUCCGGAAAGAAAUCCUUGGCUCUAAUACAGUCGGGGGAUGACGGUACCGGAAGAAUAAGCACCGGCUAACUACGUGCCAGCAGCCGCGGUAAUACGUAGGGUGCAAGCGUUAAUCGGAAUUACUGGGCGUAAGCGUGCGCAGGCGGUUUGCUAAGACCGAUGUGAAAUCCCCGGGCUCAACCUGGGAACUGCAUUGGUGACUGGCAGGCUAGAGUAUGGCAGAGGGGGGUAGAAUUCCACGUGUAGCAGUGAAAUGCGUAGAGAUGUGGAGGAAUACCGAUGGCGAAGGCAGCCCCCUGGGCCAAGUACUGACGCUCAUGCACGAAAGCGUGGGGAGCAAACAGGAUUAGAUACCCUGGUAGUCCACGCCCUAAACGAUGUCAACUAGUUGUUGGGGAUUCAUUUCCUUAGUAACGUAGCUAACGCGUGAAGUUGACCGCCUGGGGGAGUACGGUCGCAAGAUUAAAACUC